GUGCCUUAAACUAAUGAGUAAGGAAAAUAACGAGCGUUGGUGACGCUUCGCUCUACUAACAGUGUUUAGUAGAAUUGUUUGGAAGGGCACAGGUCGUCCCAAGUCCUCCCACCUACUUUGUGGUGAAGACUAGGAGUCAGCGAUCUGUCCU